rnacentral:tRNA from 1 species
GCCCUCGUAGCUCAGUAGGAUAGAGCAACGGUUUCCUAAACCGUAGGCCACAGGUUCGAAUCCUGUCGAGGGCGCCA